AUUGAACGCUGUCGGCAGUCUUAACACAUGCAAGUCCAGCGGUGCGGCGGACGGGCGAGUAACGCCUAGGCAUCUGCCUGGUAGUGGCGGAUAACGUCCGGCAUCGGGCUCUAUUUCCGCAUACUCUCACAUGGGCCUAGGUCGGAUUGGCUAGUGGGUGGGGUAAAGGCCUACCAAGGCGACGAUCCGUACCUUGUCUGAUAGGAUGAUCAGUCAGACUGGAACUGAGACACGGUCGAGACUCCUACGGGAGGCAGCAGUGGGGAAUAGUGGGCAAUGGGCGAAAGCCUGAUCCAGCCAUGCCGCGUGUGUGAAGAAGGUCUUCGGAUUGUAAAGCACUUUAAGUUGGGAGGCGUUACCAACAGAAUAAGCACCGGCUAGCUUCGUGCCAGCAGCCGCGGUAAUAC
rnacentral:rRNA from 1 species